rnacentral:rRNA from 1 species
UACGUAGGGCGCAAGCGUUGUCCGGAAUUAUUGGGCGUAAAGAGCUCGUAGGCGGCUUGUCACGUCGGGUGUGAAAGCCCGGGGCUUAACCCCGGGUCUGCAUUCGAUACGGGCUAGCUAGAGUGUGGUAGGGGAGAUCGGAAUUCCUGGUGUAGCGGUGAAAUGCGCAGAUAUCAGGAGGAACACCCGUGGCGAAGGCGGCCAGCUGGGAUACACCUGACGCUGAGGCACGAAGGCGUGGGGAGCGAACGGG